GACGAACCGUGCGAACGUUGUUCGGAUUCACUGGGCUUAAAGGGCGCGUAGGCGGGUCAUCAAGUCCGGGGUGAAAUCCUCCAGCUUAACUGGAGAAUAGCCUUGGAUACUGGUGGUCUCGAGGGAGGUAGGGGCGGGUGGAACUUCCGGUGGAGCGGUGAAAUGCGUAGAUAUCGGAAGGAACGCCGGUGGCGAAAGCGACCCGCUGGACCUCUUCUGACGCUGAGGCGCGAAAGCCAGGGGAGCAAACGGG
rnacentral:rRNA from 1 species